rnacentral:rRNA from 1 species
ACCCUUUAAUGUUUGAUGUUCUAACGUGGACCCGUUACCCGGGUUGCGGACAGUGUCUGGUGGGUAGUUUGACUGGGGCGGUCUCCUCCUAAAGAGUAACGGAGGAGCACGAAGGUUGGCUAAUCCUGGUCGGACAUCAGGAGGUUAGUGCAAUGGCAUAAGCCAGCUUGACUGCGAGCGUGACGGCGCGAGCAGGUGCGAAAGCAGGUCAUAGUGAUCCGGUGGUUCUGAAUGGAAGGGCCAUCGCUCAACGGAUAAAAGGUACUCCGGGGAUAACAGGCUGAUACCGCCCAAGAGUUCAUAUCGACGGCGGUGUUUGGCACCUCGAUGUCGGCUCAUCACAUCCUGGGGCUGAAGUAGGUCCCAAGGGUAUGGCUGUUCGCCAUUUAAAGUGGUACGCGAGCUGGGUUUAGAACGUCGUGAGACAGUUCGGUCCCUAUCUGCCGUGGGCGCUGGAGAACUGAGGGGGGCUGCUCCUAGUACGAGAGGACCGGAGUGGACGCAUCACUGGUGUUCGGGUUGUCAUGCCAAUGGCACUGCCCGGUAGCUAAAUGCGGAAGAGAUAAGUGCUGAAAGCAUCUAAGCACGAAACUUGCCCCGAGAUGAGUUCUCCCUGAGACUUAGAGUCUCCUGAAGGAACGUUGAAGA